AAACCAACUCGGUCUGCAACAAAAAAGAAAUCACUUUAGAUUGUUUAGUUGAUGAACAUCCAGCGGUAGAUCACAUAUACUAAAAAUAAUUGAAAAGAUCUGUAUGUUUUAUUAUCUUUGUUAAGAUGAGAUGUUGUGAUUAAUACAACAGGGUCAGGGACCAUCAACCGCAGACACUUUUUGAACAUUUUUCUGUACAGGUUUCAUAAGUUUUAACCUAGAGACCAACAAAAUUGACAAGGUUCAGCUAGGUUCUUCCCCUAACUAACAAACUUGUUUGUCUGAUUGUAUUGACACUUAUAUCUGAGGCUCGACAAGGAAGUAUCAAAAUUACCUCAAUUGUCUACACUACAGCACCGUGUGUCCGGACAUUUAUGUACAUGACGUUAUUUAAUUCAGAUAACAGCUUGGGUGUUUUAAUUUUUAACAUGAUAGACAAUGAUUCAGAAACAAAUGCUGAAGUUUUGGAAAUUCUAUUGUUUACUCUGCAAAUGAUUAUAGAUGGUAUAUGAGGUCAGGCAUUGUUUUCUUGACCCCCCAAAUUUCAACGUCAACAUACUUUAAAUAGCCAUUAAAAUUAUAUUACCAUUUAUGGUGGUUGAAAUAAAUUUGUUUAUUUAUUUUUAGAAGAAACAUGCAUUUAUUGUUGAUAAAAAAAGUGACAACCACUGAACAAAGAAAAUACUAAAUUAAGCAUUUUCAGGGCCGUCCGGGUUUGGUGGUUGUCCGGUUUUGGUGGUCCCCAACCAGUAGCUUAAACAUUUAUGAACUGUAAAUUCUUCCCUCACACACUUUCAUCAAUAACAAUUUCAAUUAGAAAAGGUAUAUAAAUUAUGACAUGAAAACGUAAAACAAUGAAAGAUAUGAACACAUGAAACAAAGAUAAUUCAACAUAGAGCAACAAAACUAGUUCCACUGAGGAAUACCGUACCGCCGGUAAGGCCCCCAUGGUUACACUUUUAAAUGGAUUCGUUUCGAUUUUCAUUCAUAAACGGUUAUGAUAUUUUUUACCGUUUAUUCGAGAUGACCAUAUUGUCUUACAAAUUAUCUUAAUAAUUUCCUGUAAUCAUGGAUUUUAUCUAUACUUAUUGGUUUAUCAAAGUAAAAAAUGGAAAAUGGGUGUUUACAACCCGGACCACACACCAUCACCGUGCAAUAAUCGCUUGUGACAUAAUUCAUUUUUGUUGAAGUUGAUUUUUCUUUGAUCUUUUAAAUAACGAAAUGCGGAUACAAUGCAGAAAAUGUGUGCCGCCUAAAUCGUGAUGAGCACUGAACAUUAUUUAUUAUAGAAAGUAAGUCAUCAUUUGGCAAAUUACAUGGUAUAGUAUAGUGCAUAGAAGUACCACCGUUUAAACAGUAUCGAUUCGGUUCUUAGCAAUCAUGUAAAAAAUUGUAAACGUGGGAGCCUUUACCGCCGGAUAUUGCUCGAUAUUACGAGGACUUUCAUCCCAUUUCAAGACUAUGAACAAAGGUAAAUUCAAGGCCAUCAAAAAGGCUGUAUGAAUCGGAUAGUGACACUGAUGAGAAUGAGACAGACACCGAGAGUAGGCCAUCACAAGUUAUUGUUAAAGCAACAACUCCAAACAGGCACGAAGCCUGCUUUCACCUCCGCCUUGCUUAUCUGGACAGGCAUUGCGAGAGGCCAGCAGUGAUGUGCAAAGUGCUUCUCUAAUACAAGGUGCUUCUGAUAUGCCCUCCCGUGGGCAGAUUAUUGGGCCCACUGCUGUUACACAGAUUCUCUGAGUCUUGUAGACAAUGCGGGAGGAGAAUUGUGAAAUUAAGAGGAUGAUGUAGCAAUUGUUGUCAAGGUCAGCAGCAGAUGACCAACCGCUGCAGCUUCCUGAAGAUAUCUCAUUCCCUUUUCGUUCUCCUUAGCAGAUGGAAACAUUCGAUGAGCUUCUUGGAGAUCAGACAAAGCUGUCAUCUGUGGUGCGGUUCCUCUCAAUGUUUGGUGGGGCAGUUGUGCGGGAAACUGUUGACCGCUAGAUGAUAGAAACCAUGUCAAAUGAACUGGCAAUAAUGUUCAAUAUGAAGGGGGCUGAAAGGGAAGAAAACAUUUGGGCCGCCUCUAGAUACUGAAU